rnacentral:rRNA from 1 species
UACAGAGGUGGCAAGCGUUGUUCGGAAUUACUGGGCGUAAAGGGCGCGUAGGCGGUCUUGUAAGUCUCGUGUGAAAUCCCUCGGCUUAACUGAGGAACUGCACGGGAUACUGCAUGACUUGAGAUCGGGAGAGGGAAGCGGAAUUCCGGGUGUAGCGGUGAAAUGCGUAGAUAUCCGGAGGAACACCGGUGGCGAAGGCGGCUUCCUGGACCGACACUGACGCUGAGGCGCGAAAGCUAGGGGAGCAAACAGG